rnacentral:rRNA from 1 species
UUUCUACGGGGAGGCAGCAGUGGGGAAUAUUGCACAAUGGGCGGAAGCCUGAUGCAGCAACGCCGCGUGAGGGAUGACGGCCUUCGGGUUGUAAACCUCUUUUAGCAGGGAAGAAGCGAAAGUGACGGUACCUGCAGAAAAAGCGCCGGCUAACUACGUGCCAGCAGCCGCGGUAAUACGUAGGGCGCAAGCGUUAUCCGGAAUUAUUGGGCGUAAAGAGCUCGUAGGCGGUUUGUCGCGUCUGCUGUGAAAUCCCGAGGCUCAACCUCGGGCCUGCAGUGGGUACGGGCAGACUAGAGUGCGGUAGGGGAGAUUGGAAUUCCUGGUGUAGCGGUGGAAUGCGCAGAUAUCAGGAGGAACACCGAUGGCGAAGGCAGAUCUCUGGGCCGUAACUGACGCUGAGGAGCGAAAGGGUGGGGAGCAAACAGGCUUAGAUACCCUGGUAGUCCACCCCGUAAACGUUGGGAACUAGUUGUGGGGUCCAUUCCACGGAUUCCGUGACGCAGCUAACGCAUUAAGUCCCCGCCUGGAG